CCUUCCAGCACAGCUCUGUGCAGUCGAGCGGAUGAGGGAGCUUGCUCCUGGAUUCAGCGGCGGACGGGUGAGUAAUGCCUAGGAAUCUGCCUGGUAGUGGGGGAUAACGUCCGGAAACGGGCGCUAAUACCGCAUACGUCCUGAGGGAGAAAGUGGGGGAUCUUCGGACCUCACGCUAUCAGAUGAGCCUAGGUCGGAUUCCCCUAAAAUGGUGGGGUAAAGGCCUACCAAGGCGACGAUCCGUAAGUGGUCUGAGAGGAUGAUCAGUCUCCCUGGAACUGAUACACGGUCCAGACUCCUACGAUCGGCAGCAGUGGGG
rnacentral:rRNA from 1 species